GCAGGCAGGCAGGCAGGCAGGCAGGCAGGCAGGCAGACAGGCAGGCAGCAGGCAGGCAGACAGACAGACAGACAGGCAGGCAGGCACACAGGCAGGCAGGCAGACAAACAGGCAGGCAGGCAGGCAGCAGGCAGGCAGGCAGCAGGCAGGCAGGCAGGCAGGCAGGCAGGCAAGCAGACCUUACACAACACGUCAUUCACACAGGCAGGCAGACAGACAAACAGACAGGCAGGCAGCUGAAGGCCUCAUAUAUCAUAAUGAUGCGCUCUCUCUCGUCCACUGACCGCUAGAAAACAGUUGGGUGUGAUUACAGUUCCAACCACUGGGCGGCGCUCACAGACUCUUAGUCAGAAGCAGAAUGAAAGGGACCGACAUAAAGUGAUUGAAACGUGAACCAAACAGACUCGUACAGCGUUACACAUUCAACAACGGCCUAUCGGUCAAGAAAAACAGACCUGUUCCUUUAAUGUGAAACUGAAGAGUAAAGUGGAUUAUUCUGUAGCGAAAAAAACAAACAUAUUGGCUGACAGAUUAAAUCAACUAAUAGUCUAUUUGUAUCGGCCUAUUUAACAAAUAAUUCGCCUAAUCCUUGUGUUUGCAGAUAUUCCUGUUUCAGUAGCCUCGCCUUGAGCUCUAUGUCCGUCUGAUGACGUUACGACGAAAAACACCGGGGAGGGAAAACUAACUGUCUAGACUCCAAUUUAAUUACAAUAAAUAUAGACUAUAAAAAUGAAUAAUAUUCAUUUUAGAAGCAGCAGUCCACCCAUCUCGUUUUUAUUCUGUCAGUUAUUAAUAUAAACGAACCAGAUACGUGAACACAAUCAGGUAUUGCAGCUCCGUUGUAGCCCUCCACCCGUUUCUCUCAAACACACCGAACAAACAACAGGUUCUCCAUCCAUCCUUUCCUCCAGCCCUCAUCACCUUUCCUUACGACGCCGUCUGAGCCUCUAUUCCUAGGACAACGGAACCGUCUUUAUUCUCCCGUGGUCUCCCGGGUCGAUGCUCUCGGUGCUGCUGUCUCCUGUCCGUUAACCGCCUCCAUCAGAAGGGAACUCCCGCUGCUGGAUCGCGGCUCCCGUCCUGCUCUCCCGUUGCUGCUUCAGGCGGAGAAACGUCCACCGCCGCUGGCUUGACGCUGCUGUCGCUCGACCUCAAACACCGUUAUACACCUCUUUAAACGGGAAAUCACCUGACUUGCGUCAUCCAAGCGUAUUAUAUUGGUAUGAAUAAGAAGUUGUCGGUUCACCGGUUUCAGUCAGUCAGCUACAUCUGGCCAGUAUAAUCGUCACGGUCAGACGUAACAUAUUAUGUCUCCACAUCAAUGAUAAGGUUGAACCGCCGUCAACAAGGACAGUGUGUAUAUUACAGUGUCAAUAUAUAAUAACUAGAUUCGCAGUUACUAAAAUCUGCUCUAAAUCAAAUACAGCUUCCUGUUUCUACUCUUCUACAGCAGCAGACACAUUAUGUUCCCUGGACACACAACACACACACACACACACACACACACACACACACACACACACACACACACACACACACACACACACACACACACACACACACACACACACACACACACACACAACAC
ensembl:lncRNA